ACCUGGCUGGCUCAGUUGGAAGAGCAUGUGACUCUUGAUCUUGGGGUCAUGAGUUCAAGCCCCAUGCUGGCUA
rnacentral:tRNA from 1 species